GACUCUCGGCAACGGAUAUCUAGGCUCUCGCAUCGAUGAAGAACGUAGCAAAAUGCGAUACUUGGUGUGAAUUGCAGAAUCCCGUGAAUCAUCGAGUCUUUGAACGCAAGUUGCGCCCGAAGCCAUUAGGCCGAGGGCAUGCCUGCCUGGGCGUCACCC
rnacentral:rRNA from 2 species